rnacentral:tRNA from 7 species
GGGCGGUUAGCUCAGUUGGUUCAGAGCGCUUGCCUUACAAGCAAGAUGUCGGGGGUUCAAAUCCCUCACCGCCCACCA